rnacentral:rRNA from 1 species
UACAGAGGGGGCGAGCGUUGUUCGGAAUUACUGGGCGUAAAGGGCGCGUAGGCGGCCAACUAAGUCAGACGUGAAAUCCCUCGGCUUAACCGGGGAACUGCAUCUGAUACUGGAUGGCUUGAGAUUGGGAGAGGGAUGCGGAAUUCCAGGUGUAGCGGUGAAAUGCGUAGAUAUCUGGAGGAACACCGGUGGCGAAGGCGGCAUCCUGGACCAACACUGACGCUGAGGAGCGAAAGCCAGGGGAGCAAACGGG